rnacentral:rRNA from 1 species
UUCGAAGAGUUUGAUUCUGGCUCAGAACGAACGCUGGCGGCGUGGAUAAGACAUGCAAGUCGAACGGGGUGUCUUUAGAGCUUGCUUUGAAGGCACCUAGUGGCGAACGGGUGAGUAACACGUGAGUUAC